CGUGAAGAUAGGAUUCAAUUUGGUGGAGACCAAAGCAGAAAAUUAUCAUCAUUCAGUUUGACAGUGACAAAAUGAUAGAUAGGUGUAGUGGGAACUGAUGGCAUGGAUACAGAUGAAGGUGCAGCGGAGGAUGUCAUGGCGGCUGUUUCAAGAAAUUUGGAAAUUGGGAAGAGAACACAGUGGGCUAAGGCUAAGAAUUUGGGGAUUGAGUGUUUUGAGUUUCUGUGUUUGUUAAUUGAUAGGAAGGGGAAGGGGAAGGGGAAGAGGAAGAGGCCAAGCAAUUGGCCCAGAGCCUGGGUUUGAUUAGCAGCAAUUUGAAGAUGGCAAGAAAAAGAAGAAGAGCUAGAGCCAGAGAAGAAUCUCUGCUCUGAUACCAUAGAAGGUUAUAGAAUUUGCUGUGUAUUCUUCUCAUUGAGAGUAUAAGGUUCCUAGCUGACAAUGAUAAAACAAGCACAGAAACUUGUAAAGAGAUAAUGAACACUAUUUGUAUUGUAAAGUACAAGAUUUUAUAUGCAAUACUAUGGCUAUGCGAAAGUUGUGCAAGGCCAAAACGCUGACUAACCUUGGCAUUCUUGGGAGCAGCAACUUCUU